rnacentral:lncRNA from 1 species
UUUGGAGAGCUUCCGAGUUGGUGGCCACGUGGAGGAGCUGGGAGAGUGGCACCCCUGGAGAGGAUGUGGAAGCUCCGUUGCCUCCACCAUCUUUUCCGCCUGCUGUUCCUGAGUGGAAUCUGAUGCUAACCUCAGAGGGGGAAAGAGGAGGGUAGAAAAGAACAGGGAAGAAGAAAAUACAGUGGAGAUUCCUGGCUAAAACUGGUUGGCUCAUGUUUACUCAGCUUCAUGGGUUUAGAUUCAGUUAAAAUUCCAUGGAGUCUAAUUUCUGCUGGGAUAUUUCCUCCAGGCUGACAUUGGUUUCAGAAGGACGUAUAGUUGAACCAGUUCUUGAUAAGCCUGAAUCUUUAUGUGCUGCAUGUCUGUAAGCUGCCCUCUCAAAGACCUGCUCUCCUCACAUGCUGCAGAAAGAAAAUGACGUGGACAGAGAGAGAAAUGUCACAAUCUACGCUCAGCUGGUCUGGAUUAUCCAACUUCUGAGGUGUAUCUGCCGGCUGUCCCUGUAUCCCAUUAUAAAUCAUCUCCUUGUUGAACAUCAGGCCAGACUGGGGUCUGAUUCAUUGGCUGAAUGUGGCUACCUGGCUCCAGGAGGAGCCUCUGUCUCAGUCCUGUAAUAGUCAUCAUGCUUUAAGAAACCUUCACAUUUCUGAACAGUUACAUAGUGUCCUCAGCUGAAGAAAGAGGAAGUCUGGAGUCCAUUUCCGGCAGUUAGCAGGGAGCUGUUUUCCUCUCUCUGACAUUAGCAAAGCAGAAGCAAUCAAUAACUGUACUAUAAAUUACAUGUGCAUUGAGCAUUCAAGCAUUGUGGAGUCUGGGUCUCCCCAAGGCCACGGUCAACUGGCCUCACUCUGUCACUCAGCUUGGGGUGCAGUGGCACAAUCUGAGUUCACUGGAAUCUCAAACUCGGGCUCAAGAGAUCCUCCCUCCUCAGCCUCCCAAGUAGCUGGAACAACACAUAUUGGCUUUCUAAACAAGAUUUAAUGUGAAGAAAUAGUUCCACUGCUUUAAAAAAGAAGGGCUUUUAUUCCAUACCUUUGGGGACAGCGGCAGUCAACACCAACUUGUGGCAUGGGAUGGAUUUCUACCAAAAGCCUCUGUGAAUGUGCUCUGAGAAGUUUCUACAGAGUCUGACAGGGCCUCACUCUUUCGCCCAGCUUGAGGUGUAGUGGCACAAUCUGAGCUCACUGGAAUCUCAAACUCUUGGGCUCUUGAGUUUGAAAUAUAGCAAAGAAAGGCUGGGUGUGGUGGCUCAUGCCUUUAAUCCCAGCACUUUGGGAGGCCGAGCGGGAGGAUCACGAGAUCGGGAGAUCAAGACCAUCCUGGCUAACAUGGUGAAACUCCAUCUCUACUAAAAAUACAAAAAAUUAGCCGGGCGUGGUGGCGGGUGCCUGUAGUCCCAGCUACUCGGGAGGCCGAGGCAGGAGAAUGGCGUGAACCCAGAAGGUGAGAAAGAGUGAGAGAGUCAGUGUGAGACGUAACUAUAAUGCAAUGAGUUGGUUUAG